rnacentral:rRNA from 1 species
GGGGAAUUUUGGACAAUGGGCGCAAGCCUGAUCCAGCCAUGCCGCGUGUCUGAAGAAGGCCUUCGGGUUGUAAAGGACUUUUGUCAGGGAAGAAAAGGCUGUUGCUAAUACCAGCGGCUGAUGACGGUACCUGAAGAAUAAGCACCGGCUAACUACGUGCCAGUAGCCGCGGUAAUACGUAGGGUGCGAGCGUUAAUCGGAAUUACUGGGCGUAAAGCGGGCGCAGACGGUUACUUAAGCAGGAUGUGAAAUCCCCGGGCUCAACCCGGGAACUGCGUCCUGAACUGGGUGACUCGAGUGUGUCAGAGGGAGGUAGAAUUCCACGUGUAGCAGUGAAAUGCGUAGAGAUGUGGAGGAAUACCGAUGGCGAAGGCAGCCUCCUGGGAUAACACUGACGUUCAUGCCCGAAAGCGUGGGUAGCAAACAGGAUUAGAUACCCUGGUAGUCCACGCCCUAAACGAUGUCAAUUAGCUGUUGGGCAACCUGAUUGCUUAGUAGCGUAGCUAGCGCGUGAAAUUGACCGCCUGGGGAGUACGGUCGCAAGAUUA